rnacentral:lncRNA from 1 species
ACAACCAACACGUUCUCCCCACACAACUCUCUCGUUCUCCCCACAGCCAGGUCUCCAGCUGGGGUGGAUGUGCCCACCAGCUGCCGAAGGCCAGGACGCCAGGUCCGGUGGACGUGCCAAGCGGGACAUGACAUGGUCCGGUGUGACGGCGAGGACAGAGGAGGCGCGUCUGGCCUUCCUGAACACCUUAGGCUGGUGGGGCUGCGGCGAGAAGCGGGUCUGUUUCUUUACUUCCUCCACGGAGUCGGCACACUACGGCUGCCCUCUGGGCUCCCAGAACCCACAACAUGAAAGGUGCGGGGCUUCCUGCCACACCUGGGGUGGGGGGCACGCGAGAGGAGCUGAGUGGGACCUCACUCCUUCCCCAUCCACAGAAAUGGUGCUACCCAGCUCAAGCCUGGGCCUUUGAAUCCGGACACAAAACCCUCUAGCUUGGAAAGGAAUAUGCUGCACUUUACAACCACUGCACUACCUGACUCAGGAAUCGGCUCUGGAAGGUGAAGCUAGAGGAACGAGACCUCAUCAACCCAACACCAAAGACACCAUCGGAACAGCAGCGCCCGCAGCACCCACCCCCCACCGGCAACUCCAUCUUCAUGGCCAC